AGAGUUUGAUCAUGGCUCAGGAUGAACGCUAGCUACAGGCUUAACACAUGCAAGUCGAGGGGCAGCAUUUUAGUUUGCUUGCAAACUGAAGAUGGCGACCGGCGCACGGGUGAGUAACACGUAUCCAACCUGCCGAUAACUCGGGGAUAGCCUUUCGAAAGAAAGAUUAAUAUCCGAUAGUAUAUUAAAACCGCAUGGUUUUACUAUUAAAGAAUUUCGGUUAUCGAUGGGGAUGCGUUCCAUUAGUUUGUUGGCGGGGUAACGGCCCACCAAGACUACGAUGGAUAGGGGUUCUGAGAGGAAGGUCCCCCACAUUGGAACUGAGACACGGUCCAAACUCCUACGGGAGGCAGCAGUGAGGAAUAUUGGUCAAUGGACGAGAGUCUGAACCAGCCAAGUAGCGUGAAGGAUGACUGCCCUAUGGGUUGUAAACUUCUUUUAUAUGGGAAUAAAGUAUUCCACGUGUGGGAUUUUGUAUGUACCAUAUGAAUAAGGAUCGGCUAACUCCGUGCCAGCAGCCGCGGUAAUACGGAGGAUCCGAGCGUUAUCCGGAUUUAUUGGGUUUAAAGGGAGCGUAGGUGGAUUGUUAAGUCAGUUGUGAAAGUUUGCGGCUCAACCGUAAAAUUGCAGUUGAAACUGGCAGUCUUGAGUACAGUAGAGGUGGGCGGAAUUCGUGGUGUAGCGGUGAAAUGCUUAGAUAUCACGAAGAACUCCGAUUGCGAAGGCAGCUCACUAGACUGCAACUGACACUGAUGCUCGAAAGUGUGGGUAUCAAACAGGAUUAGAUACCCUGGUAGUCCACACAGUAAACGAUGAAUACUCGCUGCUUGCGAUAUACAGUAAGCGGCCAAGCGAAAGCAUUAAGUAUUCCACCUGGGGAGUACGCCGGCAACGGUGAAACUCAAAGGAAUUGACGGGGGCCCGCACAAGCGGAGGAACAUGUGGUUUAAUUCGAUGAUACGCGAGGAACCUUACCCGGGCUUAAAUUGCAUUUGAAUAAUCUGGAAACAGGUUAGCCGCAAGGCAAAUGUGAAGGUGCUGCAUGGUUGUCGUCAGCUCGUGCCGUGAGGUGUCGGCUUAAGUGCCAUAACGAGCGCAACCCUUAUCUUUAGUUACUAACAGGUCAUGCUGAGGACUCUAGAGAGACUGCCGUCGUAAGAUGUGAGGAAGGUGGGGAUGACGUCAAAUCAGCACGGCCCUUACGUCCGGGGCUACACACGUGUUACAAUGGGGGGUACAGAAGGCAGCUACCUGGUGACAGGAUGCUAAUCCCAAAAGCCUCUCUCAGUUCGGAUCGAAGUCUGCAACCCGACUUCGUGAAGCUGGAUUCGCUAGUAAUCGCGCAUCAGCCAUGGCGCGGUGAAUACGUUCCCGGGCCUUGUACACACCGCCCGU
rnacentral:rRNA from 1 species